UGGGGAAUUUUGGACAAUGGGCGCAAGCCUGAUCCAGCAAUGCCGCGUGCAGGAUGAAGGCCUUCGGGUUGUAAACUGCUUUUGUACGGAACGAAACGGCUCUGGUUAAUACCUGGGGCUAAUGACGGUACCGUAAGAAUAAGCACCGGCUAACUACGUGCCAGCAGCCGCGGUAAUACGUAGGGUGCGAGCGUUAAUCGGAAUUACUGGGCGUAAAGCGUGCGCAGGCGGUGAUGUAAGACAGAUGUGAAAUCCCCGGGCUCAACCUGGGACCUGCAUUUGUGACUGCAUCGCUGGAGUGCGGCAGAGGGGGAUGGAAUUCCGCGUGUAGCAGUGAAGUGCGUAGAUAUGCGGAGGAACACCGAUGGUGAAGGCAGCCUCCUGGGCCAGUACUGACGCUCAUGCACGAAAGCGUGGGGAGCAAACA
rnacentral:rRNA from 1 species